AUGAAUAACAUACAGGCCACCCAGAACAAAGGAGAUUCCUGCGGCGUAUAUCCUCCCUCCGCUUUCAUGAUGGUACAUCACCAACCGGCUGCCAUACCAGGCGAGGAAGGCCCAAAUGGCGAAAGAAAGACCGGUGAAUCCGACAGCGAGGCCUUUGGCAAUGCCCUGCUUGAUCCCCAGGUUGAUGGUCUUGUCGAGGAUUGCCGUGUACCUCUGGAUGAUCCCUUUCUCUGCAGUGAAGGAGUAGACGGUCUUGAUGGAGCCAAGUGCUUGCUCCACGAGGGAGUUUGCCUUGGCGUACUCGCGGCGCGACUCGCGGGAGAGGUACAGAAGGUACUUCCCGUAGAUGAGACCAGGGAUUAUGAGGAGCAGGACCAGAGGGUAGGAAACCAGAGCCAGCCUCCAGGAGAAAUAGGUGGAGAAGGCGAGCCCGGAGACGAAGACCGUGGAGUGCAUCAGAAACAGAGGAACCUGUUCAAGGUAUGUCUCCAGACUAUCUCAGUCGAGAACAGAGUGUGA
rnacentral:rRNA from 1 species